rnacentral:rRNA from 1 species
AUGAACGCUAGCUACAGGCUUAACACAUGCAAGUCGAGGGGCAGCAUGGUCUUAGCUUGCUAAGGCCGAUGGCGACCGGCGCACGGGUGAGUAACACGUAUCCAACCUGCCGUCUACUCUUGGACAGCCUUCUGAAAGGAAGAUUAAUACAAGAUGGCAUCAUGAGUCCGCAUGUUCACAUGAUUAAAGGUAUUCCGGUAGACGAUGGGGAUGCGUUCCAUUAGAUAGUAGGCGGGGUAACGGCCCACCUAGUCUUCGAUGGAUAGGGGUUCUGAGAGGAAGGUCCCCCACAUUGGAACUGAGACACGGUCCAAACUCCUACGGGAGGCAGCAGUGAGGAAUAUUGGUCAAUGGGCGAGAGCCUGAACCAGCCAAGUAGCGUGAAGGAUGACUGCCCUAUGGGUUGUAAACUUCUUUUAUAAAGGAAUAAAGUCGGGUAUGGAUACCCGUUUGCAUGUACUUUAUGAAUAAGGAUCGGCUAACUCCGUGCCAGCAGCCGCGGUAAUACGGAGGAUCCGAGCGUUAUCCGGAUUUAUUGGGUUUAAAGGGAGCGUAGAUGGAUGUUUAAGUCAGUUGUGAAAGUUUGCGGCUCAACCGUAAAAUUGCAGUUGAUACUGGACAUCUUAAGUGCAGUUGAGGCAGGCGGAAUUCGUGGUGUAGCGGUGAAAUGCGUAGAGAUUAGGAAGAACACCGGUGGCGAAGGCGACUUUCUGGACGAAAACUGACGCUGAGGCGCGAAAGCGUGGGGAGCAAACAGGAUUAGAUACCCUGGUAGUCCACACGGUAAACGAUGAAUACUCGCUGUUUGCGAUAUACGGCAAGCGGCCAAGCGAAAGCGUUAAGUAUUCCACCUGGGGAGUACGCCGGCAACGGUGAAACUCAAAGGAAUUGACGGGGGCCCGCACAAGCGGAGGAACAUGUGGUUUAAUUCGAUGAUACGCGAGGAACCUUACCCGGGCUUGAAUUGCAACUGAAUGAUGUGGAGACAUGUCAGCCGCAAGGCAGUUGUGAAGGUGCUGCAUGGUUGUCGUCAGCUCGUGUCGUGAGAUGUUGGGUUAAGUCCCGCAACGAGCGCAACCCCUGUUUCUAGUUGCCAGCGUGUAAAGAUGGGAACUCUAGAAAGACUGCCGUAGAUAAUACGGAGGAAGGUGGGGAUGACGUCAAAUCAGCACGGCCCUUACGUCCGGGGCUACACACGUGUUACAAUGGGGGGUACAGAGGGCCGCUACCACGCGAGUGGAUGCCAAUCCCCAAAACCUCUCUCAGUUCGGACUGGAGUCUGCAACCCGACUCCACGAAGCUGGAUUCGCUAGUAAUCGCGCAUCAGCCACGGCGCGGUGAAUACGUUCCCGGGCCUUGUACACACCGCCCGUCACACCAUGAGAGUUGGGGAUACCCGAAGCCUGUGAGCCAACAGUUAAAUGGGGCAGCAGUCGAAGGUAGAAUCAAUGAUUGGGGUG